CCAGCCGUGUUUCUUCAGAAUUUAGGGUUCAUCACGUUUUUUGUUCUACGCCGUUUGAAAGCUUGAGAUGCUGGACUCGACGUGAGGAAUCUAUUCGAUAGGUUUCGAUCGCGUCAUUUGAUCUUCCAGGAUGGUGUAUAAGACGAAUCGUCAUGAGGCAUCUCUGGUCGAGUUUCAUUGGUGUCGUUUCAUUUGAGGUUCUUCUCCUCUGAAACUAGGUUUGGGAUCCAUUGAAGUCUCCAUAAACAACCAUCUUUACUUCUUCGACUACAACAUAAGCUUAUUAUCUCUCUUCAGGAGACAUGGCCAAAGCCAUAACUGUGAACUCCUUCAGAUCUUACUCUGUCCGACAGAUCUUCCGAGCAUCUCACGGUUUCGGCGAUUCUUGCUUGGCUUAACAAUAGCGGCAGUGAAGAUGGCGGUUCUUGCUUGGCUCAAAGGCGGGGAUUGGAGCAUGGUGAAUCGAGAGUGGUUCGGGCAGGACGAGGUUUGGCUUAAAGCUCCGAUGAGGCGAUGCUGAUAAUAGUGACAUCCAGUGAUUUUGGUUACUUACUCUGAACAUUACCAGGAUCCUUCUGAUGUAUCUACAGGUUUGUUCAGUGGGCUCAGCGAGCAAUCGAUACAUCACAUGUUGAAGCAGCGAGUAAUGAGAAUGGUAUUGGUUUUGUUAAGCUUAUGGAUGUUACAGUGGUAAGUUUUUCUCUUCGUGUGUUUCUGCUUAGAAAAUUAGUGUUAAAAGACUUUUUGAGCUGUUAAUGACUAAUAGCUAUUCGAUGAUUUACAACAUGAUUCAUAGCGCUGUAUAAUAUAAGCUAGCAGAGAUGUCAAUUGCUCAUUACUCUUGAGUCAGCAUUUUGUCUCGAAUGGAAAAGGUGGACUCUUGGAGUUCAUUGAGAAACGGAUCAAGGUGAAUGGUCACAAGGUGAUUGUUCUUGCUGAAGAAGCAGAGCGAGAAUUGAUGUGCAAAAGCAUGGAAUCUAACAGACGCCUCUGAUAACAAGCUUCUUAAAGAUUUCGCUUUUGGCUACCACAAAGCAUCAAGAAAACCAAGUUAAGAAAGAAACGAAGAAAGUUAGGCUGAUAAUUUGAAUCAUUCUUGCGAUGCCACCAAGUACGAGACAGAGCUGCGUUACGACGCGAAUGUUACGGGCAUGAUAAGUUAUACCCACAUCGGUGAAUUGUCAGGAAUAUCGGCGUACAAGAGCUGUUUCUGUGCUUUCCGGUUAAAGGAAUCAAAGUUGACGUGGCUCUGGUCUUAUAUACUUCGACAUUGUGUUGUUCGCGAGCAAUACUCACUCUUCUCUUUGUUCAAUACAUUGAAAGAUUGUGUUGCUGUUCGUGGUGAAAAAUCAGGGAUUAAGUAUUAUUAAGAUUGCUAGAUGAAGUUUGAGUAUUGAUCUCUCUUUCAUAUGAAUUUCUUUCUAAGUAACUCAGAUGUGUUUUAGUAUGAAGUUUAUGGAAAGUGUGUCCAUAUGAUGAUAACUCAGAUGUGAAACCAAAGAUAAUAUUAUGUAUAUU